AACGCGAAGAACCUUACCAGCCCUUGACAUGUCCGGCUAGCCAGACAGAUUUGGUGUUCCCUUCGGGGACCGGAGCACAGGUGCUGCAUGGCUGUCGUCAGCUCGUGUCGUGAGAUGUUGGGUUAAGUCCCGCAACGAGCGCAACCCUCGCCCUUAGUUGCCAGCAUUCAGUUGGGCACUGUAAGGGGACUGCCGGUGAUAAGCCGAGAGGAAGGUGGGGAUGACGUCAAGUCCUCAUGGCCCUUACGGGUUGGGCUACACACGUGGUACAAUGGUGGUGACAGUGGGCAGCGAGACCGCGAGGUCGAGCUAAUCUCCAAAACCCAUCUCAGUUCGGAUUUCACUCUGCAACUCGAGUGCAUUAAGUUGGAGUCGCUAGC
rnacentral:rRNA from 1 species